UGCCGACGUGGAGCAUCCCAGAGAGGAUGAGUAGGGGACCUGGCCCGAGUGGGCUGCAUCUUCAGGGCGUGCGGCAGCCGCUGGGUCUCGGCAUGAAUUAAGAAGCUGGAAAGAUGGAGCGCCGCACACUCCUCGCCCAGCCCAGGCUCUGGACCAGGGACAUCAGCUGGACACUUCUCUAUUUCCUCUGCUACGUCCUUCCCCAGACCGCACCGCAAGUACUCAGGAUCGGUGAAGAUGCUGGGAAUUGAAGCACAGCUGACCUCCCUCAAGGAACUUUCCAUCUGGAGGGAUUUUUGAAACUGUGGAAAAUGAACCCGUUAAUGUUGAAGAAUUAGCGUUCAAGUUUGCUGUCACCAGCAUUAACAGAAAUCGAACUCUGAUGCCUAACACCACAUUAACCUAUGACAUCCAGAGAAUUAACCUUUUUGAUAGUUUUGAAGCCUCACGGAGAGGUAACUAUUUCCACACUUUUAAAAGCUUCUUUGGGUGAUAUGUCUGCUCUGCAAAUCACUUUCUUUUUGCCACCUGCCCUUUUCCAAAGUGGACAUCUUGGUACAAAUGGGUUGUAGGAAAUCUCGGUCCUGGAUGUCACUGUCCAGUGCAAUCUGAGCCAUCCUAAUGGAUGUGGCCGCACUCUGAUUUCUGGGCCUUUCUGAUUAGCUUACCCUUCAGUGCCCUCCACUCUAUGAUUAACUGGUUCAGCCGUGAAUGGAAAAUGUCAAGCUUGAUCUGUUUUCCCUUCCUGAGGCUGAGAUACCACCAUGAAAUUGUACAGUGCAGUCAAAUAAAACUUUGUGGAAGGUCAUACCCACCGAGCAUGUGGAAAUGCCCACAACACACAGAAUUCACAACCUGAAUUUUAACAGGUCGUGAGUUACUGGAUUUAUCUAGCAUCAUCUCAAAAAUUUUUAACCUCGUUCCACAAGAUCAGAGAAAGGUGAAGAUUAUAAAUAUCAAAUGAUUAUGUGAUAUACCUGAAAUUCACAUCAUGUUAUAUGUCAAUUACACCUCAAU
rnacentral:lncRNA from 1 species